rnacentral:rRNA from 1 species
ACCCCGAGUGCCCGUAAAUUCGGGCUGUCCGCCAGUGUAAAUAACUGGUGAAGAAAGGGCCGGGCAAGACCGGUGCCAGCCGCCGCGGUAAUACCGGCGGCUCGAGUGGUGGCCACUAUUACUGGGCUUAAAGCGUCCGUAGCUGGAUUGUUAAGUCUCUUGGGAAAUCCACCGGCUCAACCGAUGGGCGUUCAGGAGAAACUGGCAAUCUAGGGACCGGGAGAGGUGAGAGGUACUCCAGGGGUAGGAGUGAAAUCCUGUAAUCCUUGGGGGACCACCUGUGGCGAAGGCGUCUCACUAGAACGGCUCCGACAGUGAGGGACGAAAGCUGGGGGAGCAAACCGGAUUAGAUACCCGGGUAGUCCCAGCUGUAAACGAUGCGCGUUAGGUGUAUCGGUGACCACGAGUCAUCGAGGUGCCGAAGGGAAACCGUGAAACGU